UUUUUUUUGCUACCUACAGAGUGAACACCUGUGUGCAUCUCAAAAGGAAACCGGUGGAGGAAAUUGAAAGGAAAGGAAACCAGUGUCCCCAGCGCAGUCACUGAUCCUUGCAUAAAGCUAUUUAAUCAGCCGUCUCAAGACGAAAAGGAGCAGUAGUGACAGUCUUCCGGAAAGCUCCAUGCAGCUGCAGACUCCUUGUGGCGACUGACAGCGUGAACAACAAACCCAC